AUGGGAUAAUUAUGGGUAGAAUUUUUGAUAGACCUAGAUAUAUAUAUUUGAGUUGCUCAGGGAGUGUUUUGAGUUCUAGUUUAGGUGCUUCCUCAAUCGAUGGCUUGUGUAUUGGUUCAUCCAUCCUCACAAGUGGUUCGAUAGGUGGUUGCCAUUAUGGAUGAACUCUCUGAUCACUAGAUAGAAAAAUUUCAUAAGCUAUUUCAGAUUCUUAAUCUGACCAGAGAUUAUAGUCAAAAUCUUCUUCUCCUAGG
rnacentral:lncRNA from 1 species